UACGGAGGAUGCGAGCGUUAUCCGGAUUUAUUGGGUUUAAAGGGUGCGUAGGCGGCUUUUUAAGUCAGCGGUGAAAUUUUGCAGCUUAACUGUAACAGUGCCGUUGAUACUGGGGAGCUAGGAUUUGGUUGUAGUGUGCGGGAUGUGUGGUGUAGCGGUGAAAUGCUUAGAUAUCACACAGAACACCGAUUGCGAAGGCAGCACACUAAGUCAUUAUUGACGCUGAGGCACGAAAGUGUGGGGAUCAAACAGGAUUAGAUA
rnacentral:rRNA from 1 species